CCUACGGGUGGCUGCAGUGGGGAAUAUUGCACAAUGGGCGCAAGCCUGAUGCAGCCAUGCCGCGUGUGUGAAGAAGGCCUUCGGGUUGUAAAGCACUUUCAGCGGGGAGGAAGGCGGUGAGGUUAAUAACCUCAUCGAUUGACGUUACCCGCAGAAGAAGCACCGGCUAACUCCGUGCCAGCAGCCGCGGUAAUACGGAGGGUGCAAGCGUUAAUCGGAAUUACUGGGCGUAAAGCGCACGCAGGCGGUCUGUCAAGUCGGAUGUGAAAUCCCCGGGCUCAACCUGGGAACUGCAUUCGAAACUGGCAGGCUAGAGUCUUGUAGAGGGGGGUAGAAUGCCAGGUGUAGCGGUGAAAUGCGUAGAGAUCUGGAGGAAUACCGGUGGCGAAGGCGGCCCCCUGGACAAAGACUGACGCUCAGGUGCGAAAGCGUGGGGAGCAAACAGGAUUAGAUAGCCCAGUAGUC
rnacentral:rRNA from 1 species